UGCCAUCAGACAGGAAUCUGGCCACCAAGCAGGCAGGAGCUACAGAAGUUAGGGGACUUACAGAAGGACCCUGAGGACCUGGCAAACCGGAGUCUCCUUUCUCUCCUUUCACUCCAUUGGCACCCUACAAAUAAACAGGAUAGAGAAAAUCAACAUGGCCAAUCCACUGGACUUUGUGGCAGGAGGAUUAUAAUACCUAAAAAGAAACCCAGCAAUUAUAUACUUAGGGCUACUUGGUAAGUCAUUUCUUAUUUAUAAUGACUAACAGUGGGAGAAGUA